AGUGAACGCUGGCGGUAGGCCUAACACAUGCAAGUCGAACGGCAGCACAGUAAGAGCUUGCUCUUACGGGUGGCGAGUGGCGGACGGGUGAGGAAUACAUCGGAAUCUACUUUUUCGUGGGGGAUAACGUAGGGAAACUUACGCUAAUACCGCAUACGACCUACGGGUGAAAGCAGGGGAUCUUCUGACCUUGCGCGAUUGAAUGAGCCGAUGUCGGAUUAGCUAGUUGGCGGGGGAAAGGCCCACCAAGGCGACGAUCCGUAGCUGGUCUGAGAGGAUGAUCAGCCACACUGGAACUGAGACACGGUCCAGACUCCUACGGGAGGCAGCAGUGGGGAAUAUUGGACAAUGGGCGCAAGCCUGAUCCAGCCAUACCGCGUGGGUGAAGAAGGCCUUGGGGUUGUAAAGCCCUUUUGUUGGGAAAGAAAAGCAGCAGGUUAAUACCCCGCUGUUCUGACGGUACCCAAAGAAUAAGCACCGGCUAACUUCGUG
rnacentral:rRNA from 1 species